GACGAACGCUGGCGGCGUGCCUAAUACAUGCAAGUUGAGCGCUGAGGCUUGGUUCUUGUCCCACUCGGAUGAGCAGCGGACGGGUGAGUAACGCGUGGUGAACCUGCCUUUGAGCGGGGGACAACAUUUGGAAACGAAUGCUAAUACCGCAUAACAACUUUAAACUCAUGUUUUAAGAGUGAAAGAUGCAAUUGCUUCACUCAAAGCUUAUCCCGCGUGUUAUUAGCUAGUUGGUUAGGUAAAGGCUCACCAAGGCGAUGAUACAUAGCCGACCUGACAGGGUGAUCGGCCACAGUGAGACUGAGACACGGCCCAAACUCCUACGGGAGGCAGCAGUAGGGAAUCUUCGGCGCUGGGCGAAAGACUGACCGAGCAACGCCGCGUGAGUGAAGAAGGUCUUCGGAUCGUAAAACUCUGUUGGUAGGGAAGAACGUUGGUGCGAGUGAAGAGGCCAUCAAGGACGGUUACCAAACCAGAAAGGGCGGCUAACUUACUG
rnacentral:rRNA from 1 species